AGGGCCUCUAAAAGUAUUAGGGCAGCAGCAGCUGCUGCACGGAGACAUGAUGGCCAGCCUAAAACAGUAAGGUCAAGUUGUUUGGACAAAAAGGCUACAGGAUGCCAUCCUGGUCCUUGUGUAAGAAUUCCAACUGCACAGCCCUGCACUUCGGCUGUGUGUAAUGAAAAGGGUUGGGAUGAGUCAGGGAGAGCUAGAGUGGGGGCAGUCUCUAAAGCUGUCUUCAAGGAAUGGAAAGAGGAGUGGGGAAAGGAUUUAGGAUCUAUGGGGUCAGCUAGGUUUCCUUUUGUGAGUUUAUAUAAUGGUUUUGUUAGGAAUGCAAAACCAGGUAUCCAAAGGCGAAAGUAUCCAACCGUGCCCAGGAAGGAAAGGAGUUGUUGUUUUGUAGAAGGGGUUGGGGUUUGAGAGAUUAGUUGAACACGAUCGGCAGGGAGAGAACGUGUGUUUUUAUGAAGAAUUAUGCCGAGGUAGGUAACAGAUGGAGAAGAAAUUUGAGCUUUGGAGGGGGAUACCUGAUAUCCUUUGGAGAAUAAAUGCUGAAGGAGCAGAAGUGUGUCUUGUUGAGAAGAUUCAAAGGAGGGACUAUAAAGAAGAAGGUCAUCAAUAUAUUGAAUAAGGUAAAGGGCUGUUCUUAGCAACCAGAGCUAAAGAGCUGUGUGGGCUUACCCAUGAAGAGUACUGAAAAUUCAAGUUGUGUUAUUAGAAGUGAAGUUAUAUCCUGUGUCAUCCAUGUCCCUUCCUACUUCCCCAGGACAGACGUAAGGGAACGGUUCAAUAACAUUCAGUGCCCUAAAGGAGGAAAGGAGAUUGUAGUAUACUCAACUGAAUUAAGAAGAAAGACCUUCCAAUCUUCUUGUCAGGCCUCUGAGCCCAAGCUAAACCAUCGUAUGCCCCGUGACCUGCAUAUAUAUGUCCAGAUGGCCUGAAGCAAGUGAAGAAUCACAAAAGAAGUGAAAAUGGCUGGUUCCUGCCUUAACCGAUGACAUUCCACCAUUGUGAUUUGUUUCUGCCCCACCUUAACUCAGCAAUUAACCUUGUGAAAUUCCUUCUCCUGGCUCAGAAGCUCCCCCACUGAGCACCUCGUGACACCCCCACCCCUGCCCACAAGAGAAAAAACCCCCUUUGAUUGUAAUUUUCCACUAUCCACCCAAAUCCUAUAAAAUGGCCCCACCCCCUAUCUCCCUUUGCUGACUCUCUUUUUGGUCUCAGCCCGCCUGCACCCAGGUGAUUAAAAAGCUUUAUUGCUCA